AUUCAAAUAUCUUAUAAAGAGUAUAACAUUGAAGAUGUUAAGGAGAUAAAAAAUUAUCUUUGAAUA
rnacentral:tRNA from 1 species